CCUCUCCUCUUCCUCCCGCCUCACCUCUCUCUCUCCCCUUCGAAACCCUAGCCUCCCCCUCAUGCCCACUCCUUUCUUCCCCAACCCCUCCCACGAAAACCCUAGCCGCCUUUUCAGCCCGCGCCACGGUCGCCUUCAAUGGCCUGCCACUCGCGCCGCCGCUUCCCCGUCAAGCUCGCGCGUCACGCCUCGGGAGAAGAGGAAGCCCACGCCGCUGUUCCCGACGGAGCGCGCCGUCGCGCCUUCGACGGAAGGAGGCCAGACGGAUCGCGCCACCGCCGCCGCCACUCAUUCGCGCCUCCUCCUCUCCACCGGAUCGCGACCGACCCUUCCUUGUGCCAGCCCCUCGUGGCCAUGAAGGGUGGCCGAGCCACCGAGAGUGGCGGCGGUGGCCUGCUGCGGCUCCCUCUUCUUCCUCGUCGGCGGUGGCCUACACUUAAUGAUUCUAAGUUUCUAACAUAAAAUAAAAGUAUUACACUGUCAGACGAAAAAAUUCAGAACCUCGGUAGUUGUCGAUGAGUCGAACCCAUUUUAGAAUUACAUUUCUACACCUAAUCUCUGGGAGAAGUCAACGUAGUACAUACAUAUUACUAAGGUUCUUCUUGAAUAUGCAACAAACAGAUAGUUCAGACAUGCUCGACAUUGUUGUAGACUACAUCAAAGUACUGAGGACCAAAUUGAGGUAUCCUCCACAGAGAUACAACCGUGUUACAUAGCACACACUUCCAGUAGGCCUUGCUAACAAUAUCAUUUUGCACUGCAUGUUAACAUGUUUUCUUAAUUUUGUACACAAGUAUAAACUGACUAGGUAACGUCAUAUUUAUUACUAGAAUGAAAGGGAGUAACUUAUUCAUCCUUAAAUGGAAUCAUGCAGAAACUAAAACAGGACCAAGGAAACUGCUCCUGCUCAGCCGAUCAGAAGUGCUGACGCCGCAGAACUAGAUAUGCGAGGUUAUGUUUGCACCAGUGUGAUUAGCAAGACCAAGUCUUGCUCAUGAGAUAAGUUGUAAAUGUCCUUCGCAUUGCGUUUCAAGUAGUCUACAUGCUCAUCUUCUCCUUCCUUGGUUGUACUAUGGUUUAGCUUCAAUGGCUUCAAGACUAGGAGGUGACAAGUAGAAUGUUGUAAUUUAAGUAUUAAGGCAUUACCAAUCUUUCAUUUCAAUGCAAGUUGGAUUGCUUCUGCUUAUCAUCAUUUUGCCUGGUAAAAUUAUUGUAGGGAUCCUCUGCCUUGAGUCCAUUUCUGGCUAUCAAAGUUCAUUUUUCUGGAUUGCUAGACUUAGCACGAAGUGAUAUGUCCUGGCACAAAAUAUGUACCUCCUGCCUACUCCCCCCAAAAAAAUUUGGACCCAAUGAGUUCUUCCAAAUUUUCAACCGUAAAACAUUCAUGUUAACCUUAUUCGCCAAUUCACUUGUAAGUUGAUCUCUCCAGGUUGCAGGCACACAUUAUAACCAGGUUACUCUCAGUGCCUCCUUUUGUUAAUAGGUAGCUAUAUGCAAGAUAUAUUUGCACUCGUUGGCAGUACUAAAGACAGUUUGCGAAAGUCAAGUGUGUUAAACCGUAAAGAUUAGACCAAUGGAUAUCAGAAAAAAAGAGUUCGGCCAGGUGAUGCUUCAUGCCUCAUAUGAUAAAUUGCCGAGACAACCAACAUAUAACCGUACUAUUGUUGGGCCAAUUGAUGAUAGGUGUACAUUAAUAUGUUUCAAAAAAAAGAUCCAUGAUGUGGAACAUAGUGCAAUGGUGAGAUCCACUUAUUUAUGAUGGUGAGUAAUUAGCCUGGCAUGUGGAGUUGUACUAAUAAUCUAUGAGAAGGACCUCACAUCACAACACCCGAGCAAGUCUAGCAAGGCUUGCUCACCAUGGCCUACCGCGCCGGACCGACGGGGCGAGCACGUGAUCAUCAUUAGUAGGUCCUUCGUCACAACACCCUAGCGAGCGAGAUGUUCAGACAGAGAUAUAUGAUACACCACUAUCAACAUAUGUCAUAGACAAACAAUAUAUAUCGUUCUCUUCACAAGCACAAGACUUGAUUUUGGUAAAUUGUGUUACCAUUUCUGUGACAUCAACAUUUGGAAUGACAUGCCAUCUAAAUCCUCUAUAAUAACUGAACCAUUACUAUUACAAGCAACCUCCUACAUCUUCCUUUCAAGAAUUCAGAUGAUGCUUUAGUUGUUUAUAUACAUAUGCCAUCUCUUAUGUCUGAAAUAUGUGUUGUAAUUUCGGGUUGGCUGGCACCUGGCAGUCUGCACUUCCUCUCUACUUGUGACGCCCCAUCAUGUUGGUUUACAUUUGGAGCCAAAAUGCUGCUGAGCAUUUGGUGUGACUGAUUGCACUGUCCAUUUGAUGUUGUCUAGACAUAUGCUAUGCAUUGGACACAAUUAUGUUAUCUGUAAAGGCAAUUUCCUGCCUUUAUGCAUUAAAUCGAUUCAUUCUCGACAACUAUUCUCACAACAAUAUGUACUUUGUUUACAGGUUUGGACCAUGGGUUGAGCCAGGCACCAUGUGCCGAAGGCCUGUUUCCUAUCUUCUAUGUUUUUUUGUAUGUGGCAUCAGUAUUGAUUCAAUAGUUUCGAUGUUUCUGUACAAUGUUGGAAAUAGAUGGGUAGCACUGUCCCUAUAAAUUCUUCUUUUCUUUUUUGUCCAAACUUGAACAAAAAAGAAAUUACGGAAGAUGUUUUAUUGCCCCAUUGUAUUAUUAUUGGUUUCCCACAGAGUAGGUUCAUGUACGCUUCUUUGCUAAUGUAAGGCUAAAAAUAACCAUGGUUUU